GAGAAUACAAUUACAGAGGCCCAGGUUCUGCAACUUCUCAAUUAGGAUAGUGGGAAUGAUGGUAUUAAAUGCGGAGCUGUAGUCGAUGAACAGCGGCCUGACAUAGGUGCUUGUGUUGUCCAGAUGGUCUAAAGCCGUGUGAAGAGCCAUGGAGAUUGCGUCUGCCGUUGACCUAUUGUGACGACAGGCAAAUUGCAGUGGGUCCAGGUCCUUGCUGAGGCGGGAGUUCAUUUCAGUCAUAACCAACCUCCCAAAGCAUUUCCUCACUGUCGAUUUAGACCUGCAGUGAGAGAUUUAUUGGUAGAAAAACCCCAACUGGAAGCAAACCACGACUGAAGACGAGGGAACAGCAACAAGUGAACCAGCCCGAGGAUUGAGAGCAUCAACUGGAGAGGACCCAUCUGACUCGGAGAUUCCAGUGACUCUGUCAGGAGAAAGUUUGAAUGCUGAAUGAAGUGACCAAGUAUCCCCGGCACUUAUUUUCAUUGAAAAGAUAUUGCCAUUCCGUCGUUGUGGUGGCUGGGUCGAAAUCCUGGAACGCCAACGCCAUCCCCAUCAGGAGUGCAGAGAUCCUUAACCAGAAGAAGUGCAGUUGUUCCGGAUGCAUUCACUGUCACUUCCUUUGUGGCAAUGAUGGAUGGUGCUGUAAAAUCUGGCAUUGGUAAUGAAGUGUGGAUUCUGAAAAGUCAAUAACUGAAAACAGCAUUAUAGACUGCUACAGCACAGUGCAGGUCGCUCGGGCUAACCACUCCCUCCUAAAUCACCCUCUACUUUUCUAAAAUCUAUGUGCCUAUCUAAAAAUCCCUUUCAUGUCCCCAAUGUAUCUGCCUUUACCACCACCCUGGCAGUCAGUGUGUUCCACGCACCACUCUCUGUGCUUAAAAACAAUCUUACACCUGAUGUCCCCCUGUACUUUUCUCCGGUCACCUUAAAAUGAUGCCCUCUCGUAUCAGCCAUUUCGGCACUGGGAGGAAAGGUCUCUGGCUGUCCUUCUUGCGAGCCUUCAAGUGUAACUGAAGAUGACUUCAGCUUGUGAUGAUGUGUUCCCCUUUUCAGCAUCAUACGUGAUUGUGCAGGAUGAUGGCAGUUCCAUUUAUGCAAGAUUGGGAUCUGCUGCAGACUUUGGGUGAUAAUGGUGAGCAUAUGUUAGACCUGCGGUGAGAGAUUUAUUGGUAGAAAAACCCCAACUGGAAGCAAACCACGACUGAAGACGAGGGAACAGCAACAAGUGAACCAGCCCGAGGAUUGAGAGCAUCAACUGGAGAGGACCCAUCUGACUCGGAGAAUCCAGUGACUCUGUCAGGAGAAAGUUUGGUUAAAAAUGACAAGGAAUUUGUUUCCGGGAAUCUCGAACACAACACACCAGUUUUGCUGUCUCUGUCCGGACAUUUAAUAAGUGGAGCAAGAGAUUCACUUGAUCAUCUGACCUGCUGGCAUGCCUGUCAUUUUACACAGGGGGGAGCCCAUUCAUUUGCUCAGACAGUAGGAAUGGAUCAGUCGGUCAUCUCCACUGAAGGUACAUCAGCAAAUUCACACUGGGACAAGGAUAUUCACCUGUUUUGUGUGUGAGAAGGGAUUCAGUCGGUCUUCCCACCUGUGGACACACCAGUCAGUUCACACUGGGCAGACGCUGGUUAUAUGCUGAAUUUGUGGGGAAGGAUUCACUCAGUCGUCUGACCUAAUGGCACACCAGCGAGUUCAAACUGGGGAGCGGCCGUUCACCUGCUCGAACUGUGGGAAGGGAUUCACUUGCUUAUCUAAACUGAAGGAACACCAGUCAGUUCACACUGGGGAGAGGACAUUCACCUGCUCAGACUGUGGGAAGAGAUUCUCUUUGUCAUCUCAGUUACUGAGACACCAGUGAGUUCACACCGGAGAGUGGCCAUUCACCUGCUGGACUGUGGGAAGAGAUUCACUGAAUCUUCUCACCUACUGAGACGCUGGUCAGUUCACACUGGGGAGAGGCCAUUCACCUGCCCAGACUGUGGGAAGGGAUUCACUGUAUCAUCUCAACUGAUGGUACAUCAGCGAGUUCACACAGGGGAGAGGCCAUUCACCUGCUCAGAGUGUGGGAAGGGGUUCACACCAGGGAGAAGCCGUUCACUUGCUCAGACUGUGGGAAGGGAUUCACUCGGUCAUCUCGCCUACUGACACACCUGUCAGUUCACAUUGGGGAGAGGCCAUUCACCUGCUCAGUGUGUGGGACGGGAUUCACUCGAUCAUCUCAUCUACAGAGACACCGGUCAGUUCACACUGGGUAGAGGCCGAUCACCUGCUGUGAAUGUGGGAAGCGAUUCACUCAGUAAUGUAAUCUUAUGUAACUCUCGCUUCAGCUAGCAGCAUAAUAUAGGGGGUGAUAGCCCCCCCAGCACGGCCAAACUUAUGAAAUCUCGUUUUGGUGGAUGCUGUGUGAUGUGUCCUGUGUUACAAAUCAGUCCCCCAAAAUAACAAACAGUACACAAUAUCUGAUUAAACGAAUGAGAUUUAAAAUUCUUACUUUGACUGUAGGGUUAGUAAAGAAAACAAAAAAAAAAGAAAAUGGGCCCACUCUCUCCAUUCACGUCUUCUCAUCUCUCCCCAGCAAAAGACCAUGAAAUCUCUCUUCCAGACUCACAAGGAAGAACAUUUCUGUCAUUGGAUAACCCCGCACUCCAAAACCCUGUUAUCUCUAGUUGUAACCUAAACAUUGCUGCUACAGAGAAACCAUUCCCUCAGCAGUGAAACAUCACAGAGAGGCCGUUACAUUAGCAGUGAAACCUUACAGCAUGUUACACUUGUGACCCACUACCGGGUUCACACUGGGAAGAAAGUUUCAAUAAGCUGCAUGCUGGAUAUUUGUCCAUCACCAUUGCAAUUUCGAGAGUGACUGUCGGUGCUGAACUCUGCAAUUAUUGCUGCUGCUCACCAUACCCAGUUCUGCACCCUGGUCACUGGGCAUGGGAGGAGUUUCUUCUGCUGCAUAUUCACCUUUAAUGGGACUGGAGUUUAAUAUUCUUGAUAAGAGACAAAUAAAUCAGUUCUAUUUUAAACUCUGUCUAUGGUACUUAGUGAAUUUAUAACACAACUAGUGUACAGUAGAGAGUCAACUCAGGCCGGCUGGACCCUGCCAGUGAUUCAGUUCCACAAAUCCUUUUAAAUCCUCCCCUGUUGUUCAUCUCUCGCUCUCCCUGUGGUGAUGGGUUCGAAACAGUCACCACUCUGUGGGUGAAGAGGUUUCCCUUGAACUUUCUGCAGACUAAAUAAGUCGAGGAGAAGGGAAUCAGCAGUGGGGUGCGGCAAAGAAUGACAGAGUAGCAACAUUUGGAGGCUGAUUGACAGAGUUAAACUGCUGCAGAAUCCUGAAAUGUGUUGGAUUGUGUCUGGUUUCUCUUGGCAUUUUCUGCACUUGCUGCCUUGUUUGUUUAUAUUUCAUGUGUUUUUGAUUUUCUUUUCCUUUUGUUAACCACCUUGUCCUGUAGUUCUGCAAGGACCCCUCUGUUUCUGGGAAGAGGUCUCCAACUCUCAGUCAGGUGCUCGAUGCUUCCUUGUCACCAUCUUGUCUGCUCAGAUCAUUGGGACGUCUCCCAUGGAGGGUCAUACUCAUUCCACUGGUUAAUGUUUUCUUCCAUAGUGAUGAUUCAUUUUUCUGAUUUGACCUCUCAUUUAUGUUUUCUGGUCUGUAUUUCUUACAUGAUUGCAUAUACACACAGGGAGUGCUGAAUCCUGUUCAUUUUUGAUGAAGAUAUAUACAAGGGGUGAUUGAUAUGUUCGCGGCCUCAGGUAAGAGUCAGUUUUAGAAAACCUAGCACAUUUAUUUUUCAACAUAGUCCCCUCCUACAUUUACACACUUAGUCCAGCAGUCGUGGAGCACACGGAUCUUGGACCUCCAGAAAGUGUCCACAGAUGGGCGAUUGAUAAGUUCAUGGCCUAAGUUAGAAGGAGAUGAGUUAUAAAGCUCUCAUUAUAUGCACAUGCAGGUCAGCUCUUUGAGUGAUUAUGCGGAAAGUUUGAAGUUAAUAACUCAUUUCCUUCUACCUUAGGCCACAAACCUAUCAGUUACCCCUGAUAAGUUCUUAACUUCAAACUUUCUGCAUAAUCACUCAGAGUUGAACUGCAUGUGCAUGUAACGAGGGCUGUAUAACUCAUCUCCUCCUACCUUAGGCCAUGAAUUUAUGAAUCACCCCUCGUACUUAGAAGUUUUAUCUGACUGUUGUGUGAUUUUGUUUUAAUGUGUGUUAUUUCACUUCCUUCUUCUGUCCAAGGUAGUGUUAAUCUAAGUGGGUUUCAGUGUAAAUAGUCCUUUCUAAAGUUUUCCAAAGUUCUUAUUUAUCUUUAUAAAUUUUACUGAUUGAAAUGGAACCAAGAUACUUUCAUUUUAAAAAUGCCAAUGUUGGUAUUGAUGAAAGUGUUUAUUGCCCUUGUUGUGUUUGUUAACUAUUGAGCUCUGUUUGGCAGGUUUUUUAAAGCCUUGAACGAAAUUUUGUCAAAGGUUUUCCCUACUUCACACUACUUUCUAUUUUCUUUGCUUGUUGAUAUUCCAGAUACAUUGGGAUCAAGAGUCCCGAUGAAGGGUCUUGGCCCAAAAUAUUGAUUCCCAUCCAUAGAUGCUGCCUGACAUGCUGAGAUCCUCCAGCAGUUUGUGUGUAGUUCUGUAGAUUUCUAGCAUCUGCAGGUCCUCUUGUUUCCCAGAUACUUAUAUGUUUCUUGAAAGAACAAGCCAGGAACAAGCUGAUAGUGGGAUUCUGUGGCUGUGUUUGUAAAAUAUUAAGUAAAGUCAUUAGAAAGAGGUGGCAUAGGGUUGGAAGGUGUAGAAUCUGUGGGUAGAAUUAAGGAACAGCAAAUGUAAAAAAAAUCCCUGAUGGGAAUUGUAUAGAGACCUCCAAACAGUAGUAAGUAUGUGGUCCACAAAUUACAAUGGGAGAUAGAAAAUGUGUGCCAAAAGGGCAAUGUUACAAUAGCCAUGGGGGAUUGUCAUGCAGGUGAUUAGGAAAAUUAGGACGGUGUUGGUCUCAAGACGAGGAAUUCCUGGAAUGCCUACAAGAUGCUUUUUUAGAGCAGCUCGUGGUUGAGCCCACUUGGGGAUCAACUAUUCUGGAUUGGGUGUUGUAAUAAUGCAGAAUGAAUUAGUUCACUUAAGUUCAAAGAACCCUUAGGGGCAAGUGAUCUUUAUAUGAUCAAAUUCACCCUGACAUUAGAGAAGGAGAAGCUAAAGUCAGAUGAGGAAUAAAGAGAAUUAGAGAGGCAUAAGAGAUAAACUGGUCAAAAUUGAUUUUCAAAGAACGCGGGCAGGGAUAAAAACAGAGCAGCAACGGCAGGAAUUUCUGGAAGCAAUUCAGAAGGCACAGGAUAUAUACAGUGCCAUGUAAAUGUUUGGGCACCCCUGGUUAAAUUUCUGUUACUGUGAAUAGCUAAGCGAGUAAAAGAUGACCUGAUUUCCAAAAGGCACAAAGUUAAAUAUAGCACAUUUCUUUAAUAUUUUAAGCAGGAUUACAUUUUUAUUUCCAUUGUUUACAGUUUCAAAAUAGCAAGAAAGGAAAAGGGCCCGAAGCAAAAGUUUGGGCUACCUGCAUGGUCAGUGCUUAGUAACACCCCCUUGACAAGUAUCACAGCUUGUAAACGCUUUCUGUAGCCAGCUAAGAGUCUUUCAGUUCUUGUUUGGGUAAAUUUCUGGGUUCAGUCAUUAGCAGCAAAGCACUGACUGUGGAAAUUACAGAUCAGAAUAUUAUUAGAGUCACAGAGCCCAGCAGCACUGAAACAGGCCCUUCGGCCCUUCUAGUCAAUGCUGACCUGUUUAUGUUUUUACUGCCUAGUUCCAACUAUGUGCACCAUAGCCUCCAUACACCUCCCAUCCAUCUCAUCACCCAAAUUUCUCUUUAGUGUCUAAAUCGAACCCACAUUCACCACUUUCACUGGCAGCUCAUUCCACACUCCCACCAACCUCUGAGUGUAGAAUUCCCCUUCAGACUCCCCUCAAAGAAUUCACUUUCACCCUGAACUUAUGUCCAAUGUGGGGGUGAGAGGGAGGAUGGGGUGGAGAGGGAAGACAGUAAGGGGACAGUAAUGUUGCCUCCUUACAACAAAACUAACCCUCUCACUGUGUCAGAAUCCAGCCCCAAACACUGUGCUUUCAUCCCUGCACAUUGUAACUUGAGCCAUCUCACUGAGGGUCUGAUGGAGACACAACCACUGCCCUCUGCACAUGUGAUCACAUCUCCCCUGCUUCUGCCAUUUCAAAUACCCUCAGAAUGGUUUUCUGAUUCAGUCUGAAGGUUAUGGUACAUUCAGCUCAUCGUCAGACCUGACAAACCAUGUCUUCCCACAGCUGGUUCCACCUGUUGGUGUGCCCUCUUUCCUCCACCUCCAGGGAAGCUGCAUCUCCACACAAACUCCUCACUUGAGACGACUGUCUGUACCCGUGACACAGGAAAUCACAUCACUGUCACUCUCCUGAUACCAUCCGGGAAGCGGUACCGCAACAUAAAAGCCAGGACCAACAGGCUCCGGGACAGCUUCUUCCACCAGGCCGUCAGACUGAUGAACUCACGCUGAUUUGAGUGUACUCUAUAUUACAUUGUCUGUUUUAUUUAUUAUAAACUGUUAUAAAUUACUAUGAUUGCACGCUGCACAUUUAGAAGGAGACGUAAGGUAAAGAUUUUUACUCCUGAUCGAUGUAAGAAAUAAAGUCAAUUCAAUUCA